AUUGAACGCUGGCGGCAGGCCUAACACAUGCAAGUCGAGCGGAUGAAGGGAGCUUGCUCCUGGAUUCAGCGGCGGACGGGUGAGUAAUGCCUAGGAAUCUGCCUGGUAGUGGGGGAUAACGUCCGGAAACGGGCGCUAAUACCGCAUACGUCCUGAGGGAGAAAGUGGGGGAUCUUCGGACCUCACGCCAUCAGAUGAGCCUAGGUCGGAUUAGCUAGUUGGUGGGGUAAAGGCCUACCGAGGCGACGAUCCGUAACUGGUCUGAGAGGAUGAUCAGUCACACUGGAACUGAGACACGGUCCAGACUCCUACGGGAGGCAGCAGUGGGGAAUAUUGGACAAUGGGCGAAAGCCUGAUCCAGCCAUGCCGCGUGUGUGAAGAAGGUCUUCGGAUUGUAAAGCACUUUAAGUUGGGAGGAAGGGCAGUAAGUUAAUACCUUGCUGUUUUGACGUUACCAACAGAAUAAGCACCGGCUAACUUCGUG
rnacentral:rRNA from 1 species